rnacentral:rRNA from 1 species
UACGUAGGGUGCAAGCGUUGUCCGGAAUCAUUGGGCGUAAAGCGCGUGUAGGCGGCUUGUUAAGUCCGCUCUGAAAGCCCGGGGCUCAACCCCGGGAGGCGGGUGGAUACUGGCAAGCUCGAGUCCGGAAGAGGCGAGUGGAAUUCCUGGUGUAGCGGUGAAAUGCGUAGAUAUCUGGAGGAACACCGGUGGCGAAGGCGGCAUCCUGGACCGACACUGACGCUGAGGAGCGAAAGCCAGGGGAGCAAACGGG